AGAGAGAGACAUGCGCGCAUAUCAAUAAGCGGAGGAAAAGAAACUAACAAGGAUUCCCUUAGUAACGGCGAGUGAAGCGGGAAGAGCUCAAAUUUGAAAUCUUCAAGGUUCUACCUUGACGAAUUGUAGUUUAUAGAAGUGUUUUCUGUUAGUGGAGUGGCAAAAGUUCUUUGGAAUAGGACAUCAUAGAGGGUGAGAAUCCCGUAUUUGGUCAUUCCUCCUAGCGUUGUGAUACACUUUCAACGAGUCGGAUUGUUUGGGAAUGCAGUCCAAAAUGGGUGGUAAAUUUCAUCUAAAGCUAAAUAUUGGCGAGAGACCGAUAGCGAACAAGUACCGUGAGGGAAAGAUGAAAAGAACUUUGAAAAGAGAGUUAAACAGUACGUGAAAUUGUCAAAAGGGAAGCGUUUGACACCAGUGUUAGUUUUUCCGAAAAUCAAUUACGAAUGUUUUAUUUUUGAGGAGUUAUGACUUCAUCGGCUUGCUCCUUUCUUUAUGAAACUUUCUUAAUGCACUUUUCGGUUAACAAGUCAACAUCAAUUUCUUUUGUUGUAAAAGGGUAUGAGGAAGGUGGCUUGCUUCUUCGGAUACAAGUGUUUAUAGCCUUGUGCCUCUGCAAUCGGAGAGAUUGAGGUCUGCAGCGUAGAUCCUUCGGGGUUAGAUACGUUUGUGCUAAGUUAUAGCUUUUCAUAGACAACUUGUUGACUAUGUUUAGUCUUGUAGCUUACUCGCUGACGCUAUUUUACCUACGCUUAGGAUGUUGAUAGUCACAGCGUGUAC
rnacentral:rRNA from 1 species